rnacentral:lncRNA from 1 species
UUCCCCCCUUUUUCUCUCCGAUUUUUCCAAAGAAGAGCCGCGGGCACAGUUGGGUUCUCGCCGUGUUUUCUCUCCGACGAGGUCCCAAGAGGCCGAGGUAAGUUCUUCUCUUUUUCCUCCCUUCCUUCCUCUUUCCCCCGUGCGUUUGUGCGCGGUGGCCGGCGACGAACAUCGCCGAUUUUUGGUCGGAAAAAGACUGUUUUUGGGGCUUAUUUUUCGUGAAAUCUCCGACGCCGGCGAUCGGAAUUGACCGCCGGCCCUGUUUCCUCCGUGACCGGGGGAGAUGGCCCGUCGGCUGCCGGCCUCCGCCGUGGCAACAGCGGCCCGAACGGUCGUUCAAAGCCUGAGGACCAAGAGUCCUCUGUUCCGGCGCAGGAAGAAGAAGAAAAGAAGAAGAAAAAGAAGGAAAAGAAAAAGAAAAAGAAAAGAAGA